UACUUUUUCUUUUACCCCUUUCUACAUAUUUCUUCAUUUUUGCUGGAUGUUUUUUGCUAAACCACUCACAAUAGUGUAGAAAUCAAGCAAGGAGAUUUUUAGCUAUAGUGUUGAAAUCAAGCUAAUUUGAUUUACAUGGCUAAUAUACCUGAACAUCGAAAAUGGA